rnacentral:tRNA from 1 species
CAGAUAGUAGUUUAUUAAAAUACUGACCUUGGGUGUCAACGAUCGCCAAAAUGCGCUAUCUGA